ACUUACAUUUUUUAAAUGUUACAAAAUCUCAUAUAUGUAGUGGUGUAUGUUUGAACCAACAUUCCUACCCUCCAAGACUUCAUGAGCAGUCCCUGUAGAAUAUUCCACCAAAUCUCCCCAUAGAGUUUUCACUUUCAGAAUAGUUUCACUUUUUAACAUGGCAGCAUUGACAGGAAAAGAAAAAUUCUUUGGAGGAACAGAGGGGGAACUCUUGUCCAAGCAAGUGAACAAAUAAUUGGAGCUGACAUGUGAGAAAGCAUAGACUGAAGCACAUUCUGCAAACCAAAUAUAUCUAAAGUUACUGCUCCAUUAAAGGUCUUGCGCCCUUGGAGGUCUAAACUCUAAGGGUGC
rnacentral:lncRNA from 1 species